ensembl:snoRNA
GGACCCCCGUGAUGUCCAGCACUGGGCUCUGAUCUCUGUUGAGGACACAGUGCCCCCCGGGACCUUUGACACCCGGGGGUCUGAGUGGGGGGGUCC